rnacentral:lncRNA from 1 species
AUUUUAAAGUUGCAUUAUGGGAAAUAUCCUCUUGGCGCCAUUAAAAUACAGUAUUUUUCAUUUACUGUAAAUCCAAAUACAGUAAAAAAAAUGAGCGGGAAACCUGACCAAUGACAGAAAGGCUUUUUUUCUGCUUGGAGAAAGAAGAAGAAGAAGAAGAAGAAGAAGAAGAAGAAGAAGAAAAAGAAAAGGAAGACGCACACACCUCGCAGCUGCAAAUAAAGUUUCACCAUCAAAGUGCGAACAUAAACAGGUCUCUGUCUUCGUUUUGACCACGUCGGUAGCAGGUUCAUUGCGAGGAUCAAUCCUGUCAACAGCACGUGCUCUGCAAAAUUCCAGAUCAGCAAAAGAAGUGGGAAG